UACGAACCGUACGAACGUUAUUCGGAAUCACUGGGCUUAAAGGGUGCGUAGGCGGCCAUGUAAGUGAGGUGUGAAAUCCCUCGGCUCAACCGAGGAACUGCGCUUCAUACUGCAUGGCUUGAGGGAGACAGGGGUAAGCGGAACUGAUGGUGGAGCGGUGAAAUGCGUUGAUAUCAUCAGGAACACCGGUGGCGAAAGCGGCUUACUGGGUCUCUUCUGACGCUGAGGUACGAAAGCUAGGGUAGCGAACGG
rnacentral:rRNA from 1 species